GACCUGCGGAGGAUCAUUAUUGAAUACUCUUGAUGGGUUGUAGCUGGCUCUUCGGGGCAUGUGCACACUUGUCUUGACUUUAUUCAUCCACCUGUGCACCUUUUGUAGUCUUGUGGGUUGAGAGCAGUCGACUAUCGGAUGGCUAUGGCCUUUCCGGACGUGAGGAAUGCUGAGUGCGAAAGCAUACAGCUCUUCUCAAAUGACUUGCAAAACCUCUCCCUCAAGUACUAUGUAUUCAUAUACCACAUAGUAUGUUGUCGAAUGUGAUCAAUGGGCCUAUGUGCCUAUAAAAAUCAUAUACAACUUUCAGCAACGGAUCUCUUGGCUCUCGCAUCGAUGAAGAACGCAGCGAAAUGCGAUAAGUAAUGUGAAUUGCAGAAUUCAGUGAAUCAUCGAAUCUUUGAACGCACCUUGCGCUCCUUGGUAUUCCGAGGAGCAUGCCUGUUUGAGUGUCAUUAAAUUCUCAACCCCUCCAGCUUUUGCGAGUUGUGAUGGGUCUUGGAUAUGGGAGUUUGCGGGUCUUUAUUAAUAAAGGUCAGCUCUCCUGAAAUACAUUAGCGGAACCGUUUGCAGUCCCGUCACUAGUGUAAUAAUUAUCUACACUGUGAUGAUUGCUCUCUGACUAGUUCAGCUGCUAAUCGUCCACUAUGGACAAUACUUAAUGAACUUCUUGACCUCAAAUCAGGUAGGACUACCCGCUGAACUUAAGCAUAUCAAUAAGCGGAGGA
rnacentral:rRNA from 1 species